GGAGAGGCUGUGGCUCAGCAGUAGAGCAUCUGCCUUGUAUGCAGAAGGUCCCAGGUUCAAUUCCUGGUAUCUCCA